UCCUUGGUCUUCUUCUGGACACUGCUG
rnacentral:piRNA from 1 species